ACGGGCCACGUCAUACUGCCGUAUCCAAGCCCGGCUCCAGCCAGACAACACAACAACUCCUUUUGGUUUCAAUCCCUCAAUGUUGGAGAACUUCUAUUAAACCAACGCAAAAUAAACAUGGUCUCAAGUUGUCGAAAACCUGAGCAUAUGGACCCCGCCUAAAGAAAAUGUUCUCGGGUGAUUGAGAUCCAGGGCCAGAUGUCCUAGAGGACUGUGGAGCUGCUGAACCUGCCUGAGGACCAGCCCUGUUUCCUGCUAGAUGUGGGGUUCUUCCUGUGUCUGUUGGGUAGACUUCCUGAAAACCAAACCAAGGGGCUGGGGUCAGAGACGGUGGACAGGACUGUCCCAAAUCAAGUCCAAUUCACAGGACAGAGGGAAGUUCGAGCUGACACACAGUACACUGUCCGGCAGAGAAGGCCUCACUUCUAAACCCCAGUCAGUCCUGUGUGUUCCGGCCUGGAGAUUCACCCUUAUGGAGUACUACUGUCCUGCGGACAGAAUCUGGACAGAAACGGGCCCCUCUCUAGGACAUGGUCCCAAUCCUCUGGACAGAAACGGGCCCCUCUCUAGGAUGUGGUCCCAAUCCUCGGGACAGAAACGGGCCCUUCUCUAGGAAGUGGUCCCAAUCCUCUGGACAGAAACGGGCCCCUCUCUAGGACAUGGUCCCAAUCCUCUGGACAGAAACGGGCCCCUCUCUAGGACGUGGUCCCAAUCCUCUGGACAGAAACGGGCCCCUCUCUAGGACGUGGUCCUAAUCCUCUGGACAGAAACGGGCCCCUCUCUAGGACAUGGUCCCAAUCCUCUGGACAGAAACGGGCCCCUCUCUAGGACGUGGUCCCAAUCCUCUGGACAGAAACUGGCCCCUCUCUAGGACAUGGUCCCAAUCCUCGGGACAGAAAUGGGCCCCUCUAGGACAUGAUGGACAUCAGCAACAAAUGGACAGCAAAGAAAAUAAAUUCCCCUCUCUGAUCUUAGACCCAUUCAUCUGGACUAGAUAAUUUCCCCUCAAGCUGCAUAUUCUAUUUUAAAUGUUUGAUAUUUGUUUGAAAGCUUGAAUUAAACAUAUGUUCUCUAACAUGUCUUGAACUGCAUUGUUGGUAAAGGGCUUGUGAGUAAGCAUUUCACGGUAAGGUCAACACCUGUUGUAUUCGGCACAUGUGACAAAUAAAAUUUGAUUUGAUGACUUGUUUCAUAGGCCCAUAUCAAUACCAGUGAAUAUUCAUGUAAUUUAGAGGCCAAUAGUCAUCCCAGGCCUGUGGGCUACAUGUAAUUAUUUUGAGAUCUGCCGUAUUACAUUGUCGAUGGCCUCAUUCAUUUGAAUGCAGUGUUAUUAACUGAACAACAUUCGUCUUAUCUCUGUGAUAAGAAACAUGUUCUCUAACAUGACUCAGCUCUUCUCCAUGCUAGUGGAAGUGUCUAUGAACGAGAUCACUACUGCACAGACACAUGACAUAGGUCCCGUGUGGUUCAGUUGGUAGAGCAUGGUGUUUGCAACGCCAGGGUUGUGGGUUCGAUUCCCACGGGGGGCCAGUACGAAAAAAAAUAAAAAAUAAUUAUGCAUUCACUACUGUAAGUCGCUCUGGAUAAGAGCGUCUGCUAAAUUACAAAAUGUAAAUGUAAUGAAUCCAAACAAUGUAUUAAUGGU
rnacentral:lncRNA from 1 species